UUUCUAUAGGGUUCCUAGGAUAUAAAGAUCGAAGAUGAAUGAGUUGUGAGACAAUAUAAUAUAGGAUGUCGAAUUCAAUUUGCACAGCAUUCAGAAAUUGGAUGGAUUUGAUUAUCUA
ensembl:ncRNA W01H2.10 ncRNA